rnacentral:rRNA from 1 species
ACCAAUUGCGAAGGCAGCUUCUGGAUCAUUACUGACACUGAGGAACGAAAGCAUGGGUAGCGAAGAGGAUUAGAUACCCUCGUAGUCCAUGCCGUAAACGAUGUGUGUUAGACGUUGGAAAUUUAUUUUCAGUGUCGCAGGGAAACCGAUAAACACACCGCCUGGGGAGUACGACCGCAAGGUUAAAACUCAAAUGAAUUGACGGGGACCCGCACAAGUAGUGGAGCAUGUGGUUUAAUUCGAAGAUACGCGCAGAACCUUACCAACACUUGACAUGUUCGUCGCGACUCUAAGAGAUUAGAGUUUUCGGUUCGGCCGGACGAAACACAGGUGCUGCAUGGCUGUCGUCAGCUCGUGUCGUGAGAUGUUGGGUUAAGUCCCGCAACGAGCGCAACCCUCACUUUUAGUUGCCAUCAUUAAGUUGGGCACUCUGAAAGAACUGCCAGUGAUAAGCUGGAGGAAGGUGGGGAUGACGUCAAGUCCUCAUGGCCCUUACGUGUUGGGCUACACACGUGCUACAAUGGUAUCUACAACAGGAAGCAAGACUGCGAAGUUAAGCAAAUCCCUAAAAGAUACCUCAGUUCGGAUUGCACUCUGCAACUCGAGUGCAUGAAGCUGGAAUUACUAGUAAUCGUGGAUCAGCGUGCCACGGUGAAUGCGUUCCCGGGUCUUGUACACACCGCCCGUCACACCAUGGGAGUUGGUUCUACCUUAAGGCAAGGUUUCAAACCCUUGACCACGGUAUAGUCAGCGACUGGGGUGAAGUCGUAACAAGGUAGCCGUAGGGGAACCUGCGGCUG